rnacentral:rRNA from 1 species
UACGAAGGGGGCUAGCGUUGUUCGGAAUUACUGGGCGUAAAGCGCACGUAGGCGGAUUGUUAAGUCGGGUGUGAAAGCCCCGGGCUCAACCUGGGAAUUGCAUUCGAGACUGCGUAGCUAGGGUGCGGAAGAGGGAAGCGGAAUUUCCGGUGUAGCGGUGAAAUGCGUAGAUAUCGGAAGGAACACCAGUGGCGAAAGCGGCUUCCUGGUCCAGCACCGACGUUCAGGCACGAAAGCGUGGGGAGCAAACAGG